GCCAAGGCAGUGGAGGCUUGUUUACUGUCACCAUGGGAACCUCUAAAGGUUCUUUAAGGGGGUGGGGCCAAUAGCUGGGGCCGAGUCAGAACAACAGGGGCAGCAGCAAGUCUCUGAUCCCUCCCCACACAGUGAUUUUGAGAAGCCUUUCUACUUGGCUCCUCAGACCCAGCUCACCACUCUGUCCCGGAAAUGUGCCUCAAUUAAUUUCUCCCAAGAAGGUGGGACCUCUGGCUCAACUGAACAGAUAGAGAACAUGGGAGAUACUGGAAAGUAUUUUGGACGAUGUGGGAAUAGCUGUCAGUCAGCUCUUCCUAAGAUCCAACACAGUAUGACAGAUGCAACAGCAAAACAGUGAGAGGCCCUCACCUGAUUAAAAUGGAGCAAAGAAUGAAGGAUGGCCUGGGUGACAAUCCUGAUGGA
rnacentral:lncRNA from 1 species